rnacentral:rRNA from 1 species
AGAGUUUGAUCAUGGCUCACGAACGAACGCUGGCGGCGUGGCUAAGGCAUGCAAGUCGAACGGACUCCUGGAUGGGUAACUUGAAGGGAAGUUAGUGGCGAACGGGUGAGUAAUGAAUGGGUAACGUACCCCGGACUCAGGGAUAGCGGCGUCCCCCGAGCAAUCGGGAGACUUUGCCGGUAAUACCUGAUGACCCCGCGUGAUCGCAUGUUCAUGCGGGCAAAGCUCCGGCGGUCCGGGAUCGGCCCAUUUCCUAUCAGCUUGUUGGUGGGGUAACGGCCUACCAAGGCUGCGACGGGUAUCGGGUGUGAGAGCAUGACCCGACACAUCGGGACUGAGACACGGCCCGGACACCUACGGGUGGCUGCAGCAACGAAUAUUCCGCAAUGGGCGCAAGCCUGACGGAGCGACGCCGCGUGCAGGAUGAAGUCCUUCGGGAUGUAAACUGCUGUCAGGGGUGAGAAAUUCAUCUGACCAGCCCCACAGGAAGCCUCGGCUAACUCCGUGCCAGCAGCCGCGGUAAUACGGAGGAGGCAAGCGUUGUUCGGAAUCACUGGGCUUAAAGCGGGUGUAGGCGGGGUGGCAGGUGUCCUGUGAAAGCCCUCGGCUCAACCGAGGAACUGCAGGGCAAACCGCCAUUCUUGAGGCAGGGAGGGGCAAGACUAUGGGUGGAGCGGUGAAAUGCGUAGAUAUCCAUGGGAACGCCGGUAGCGAAAGCGGCUUGCUGGGCCUGUCCUGACGCUGAGAUCCGAAAGCGUGGGUAGCAAACAGGAUUAGAUACCCUGGUAGUCCACGCCGUAAACGAUGCGCACUAGGUACGAGGACUCUGACGGUGUUCGUGCCGAAGGAAAACUGCUAAGUGCGCCGCCUGGGGAGUACGGCCGCAAGGCUAAAACUCAAAGGAAUUGACGGGGGCUCACACAAGCGGUGGAGCAUGUGGAUUAAUUCGAAGCAACGCGAAGAACCUUACCUGGGUUUGACAUGCACGGAUGCCCUCUUGGAAACAGGAGUAGGCUACCUUCGGGCGAAACGUGCACAGGUGCUGCAUGGCUGUCGUCAGCUCGUGCUGUGAAGUGUCGGGUUAAGUCCCUUAACGAGCGAAAACCCCUAUCGUUAGUUGCCAGCGGGUCAUGCCGGGAACUCUAGCGGACCGCCGGUGUCAAACCGGAGGAAGGUGGGGACGACGUCAAGUCAUCAUGGCCCUUAUGCCCAGGGUUUCACACGUGCUACAAUGGUCGGUACAGAGCGAAGCGAUACCGCGAGGUGGAGCAAAUCGCAGAAAGCCGGCCCCAGUUCGGAUUGGAGUCUGCAACUCGACUCCAUGAAGUUGGAAUCGCUAGUAAUCGCGGAUCAGCAACGCCGCGGUGAAUAUGUUCCUGAGCCUUGUACACACCGCCCGUCAAGUCAUGGAAGCUGGGAGUACCCGAAGUCCGUUUAGCCAACCGCAAGGGGGCGGCGGCCGACGGUAAAUCUGGUGACUGGGACUAAGUCGUAACAAGGUAGCCGUA